GCUGGUGUAGCUCAAUUGGUAGAGCAGCUGACUUGUAAUCAGCAGGUCGCGGGUUCGAGUCCCAUCACCAGCU
rfam:Clostridia bacterium BRH_c25 BRHa_1005895, whole genome shotgun sequence.